UGGACCAGUGAGCCGCCUUCGCCACUGGUGUUCCUCCGAAUAUCUACGAAUUUCACCUCUACACUCGGAAUUCCACUCACCUCUUCCAUACUCUAGACACCCAGUAUCAAAGGCAGUUCCAGAGUUGAGCUCUGGGAUUUCACCCCUGACUUAAAUGUCCGCCUACGUGCGCUUUACGCCCAGUAAUUCCGAACAACGCUAGCCCCCUUCGUAUUACCGCGGCUGCUGGCACGAAGUUAGCCGGGGCUUCUUCUCCGGUUACCGUCAUUAUCUUCACCGGUGAAAGAGCUUUACAACCCUAGGGCCUUCAUCACUCACGCGGCAUGGCUGGAUCAGGCUUGCGCCCAUUGUCCAAUAUUCCCCACUGCUGCCUCCCGUAGGAGUUUGGGCCGUGUCUCAGUCCCAAUGUGGCUGAUCAUCCUCUCAGACCAGCUAUGGAUCGUCGCCUUGGUAGGCCUUUACCCCACCAACUAGCUAAUCCAACGCGGGCUCAUCCUUUCCCGAUAAAUCUUUCCCCCGAAGGGCUCAUACGGUAUUAGCACACGUUUCCAUGCGUUAUUCCGUAGAAAAGGGUAGAUUCCCACGCGUUACUCACCCGUCUGCCGCUCCCCUUGCGGGGCGCUCGACUUGCAUGUGUUAAGCCUGCCGCCAGCGUUCGU
rnacentral:rRNA from 1 species